UGACCCUACGGGACGCAGCAGUGGGGAAUAUUGCGCAAUGGACGAAAGUCUGACGCAGCGACGCCGCGUGAGGGAUGAAGGUUUUCGGAUCGUAAACCUCUGUCAGGAGGGAAGAAAGCGCAUGGCGCCAAUCAGCCAUGCGUUGACGGUACCUCCAAAGGAAGCGCCGGCUAACUCCGUGCCAGCAGCCGCGGUAAUACGGAGGGCGCGAGCGUUAAUCGGAAUUACUGGGCGUAAAGCGCGCGUAGGCUGUUGUGUAAGUUGGGGGUGAAAUCCCCGGGCUCAACCUGGGAACUGCUUUGGAA
rnacentral:rRNA from 1 species